rnacentral:lncRNA from 1 species
GAACACAAAGAUGAGAAUCCUAUUGCUGUCAUGUUCUGCCUGCAGGUUUCUAACAGACAUCUGGAUGCUGAAGCUCUCCUAUGCCUUGUUUGCAAAAUCCAGCUACCUCUGUUGGGCUGUGUUAAAGGACGGAAUCUUUGUGAACCUGAGCCAGAACAAUGGUGUAAACGCGUCACAGUCUUUGCAGGAGGCAUAAUGAAGACUCAUGUUGAGACAGGAUGCACGGUGAAAGAAGACAAAUGUGAUUCUAUAGAACAAAAAAGGAAAAACCUCUUGGUGACUUUUUGUUUUUGCAGCCUCAAGUGUUAUAAAUGUUUCCGUGAGUUUCAAAAUGGCACGUGCCAGACAGACGAAGAGCCCUGUAUAGCAGGCCGCGGGGAGUCCUGUUUCCGCCAGAAGAUCAUUGCAGAAAAUGUUCCUCUUUAUAUUUCGGCGGGUUGUGCCCCGAAUUGCAAGGUGGUGACUGCAGGGCUACACAUCCAUCAUAUCAACAAAUGCUGCUCUAAGGAUAUGUGCAAUAGGACAUAAGAGUGUCUGCAUGUGUGUGUGAGAGAGUGCCUCUAGUGGUCUGUCUUGGGAUCAAUGUUUGAUUCAGAGCCAUUUAUGUAAUUAAUACUACUCCCCU